GGGUAAUAAGAGACUGGUUAAAAGACUGAACUCAGUUAAGACAUUGGCUUAAAUAUAGGACUAUAUGUACCUUGGCAGAUAAGACAUUUGUAAGGGUUUGCUUAAAGUCAAGGGAAGUAACUGAAGGUGUCCUACACCAUUUUCAUUUAAGCAUUCUUAUAGAUAGUACAUUAAAAUUCAAAAAUUAAACAAACAUUUAGCAUCUAUUGUCUUUCAGUCAAAAGGUAUAGAUAUAUAAUGUAGUUUAAAUUCACCAAUUGAUGCAAAAAUAUUCUGAAGUCCAACAUUUUAAUAAUGAAUUUCCAAAAAAUAAAAUUCUAUGUCGCAAUUAAGUCAACUACAGCAUCAUGAUAGAAAAAUAAUUAUCUUAAUAAAAAUUAAAAUUCUAAUAUUAUACAAUGAUGGUGAAGAUGUUCAAUAAAAAACUGAUCUCUAGAAGGGAGUAAAUUUUUCAGAGUUGCAUACCUGCCAACUUUUAGUAUGGGGGUUUUACGUGCAAGAUGGCUCUUCUAGUCCUAAAAAACCUACAAGGGGGCCUUCAAAUGCAUCUUAAUGUUGUUUUUUGGCUUCUUCAUACUUUUGAAAAGCCUAAAGCCAUUAUAAUACAUUAACUGUUUUGUUUAAAAUUGUGGACAAAAUUGAUUUUUCAAAAUUUCCAUUUUGGAGCUUUCAUGGGGGAAAACCCCCACUAAUAGUGACAGUUGGCAGGUAUGGAGUUGAUCCAUACAUGUUUUAGAGUACAAUUGUAUUGCUGUUGUUUUAUAUGUCGUAAGUUAGCAUUAUAUUUUACCAAUGUAGAACAUAUCACUAAUGUAUGCUGUUAUGUAUUUGUGCUGAUUAAAAUCUUAAGGUGUGUAAAGUAUGAUUCUUGCUUUUAGGAUCAUUUUUAAAACUCAUUAUAAAAGUGAGUGGUGUGGGUGGGAUUUUUUCAUAUUAUAAAUUAUUAAAUAAGUAAAUUGUGCAAGGUAUGUAAGUUUCAAAUUGAUGUCAAAUUUGACCCACCAAAAC
rnacentral:lncRNA from 1 species